GAUGAACGCUGGCGGCGUGCCUAAUACAUGCAAGUCGAGCGAAUGGAUUAAGAGCUUGCUCUUAUGAAGUUAGCGGCGGACGGGUGAGUAACACGUGGGUAACCUGCCCAUAAGACUGGGAUAACUCCGGGAAACCGGGGCUAAUACCGGAUAACAUUUUGAACCGCAUGGUUCGAAAUUGAAAGGCGGCUUUGGCUGUCACUUAUGGAUGGACCCGCGUCGCAUUAGCUAGUUGGUGAGGUAACGGCUCACCAAGGCAACGAUGCGUAGCCGACCUGGGAGGGUGAUCGGCCACACGGGGACUGAGACACGGCCCAGACUCCUACGGGAGGUAGCAGUAGGGAAUCUUCCGCAAUGGACGAAAGUCUGACGGAGCAACGCCGCGUGAGUGAUGAAGGCUUUCGGGUCGUAAAACUCUGUUGUUAGGGAAGAACAAGUGCUAGUUGAAUAAGCUGGCACCUUGACGGUACCUAACCAGAAAGCCACGGCUAACUACGUGCCAGCCGCCGCCGUAA
rnacentral:rRNA from 1 species